rnacentral:rRNA from 1 species
UACGUAGGUGGCAAGCGUUGUUCGGAAUUAUUGGGCGUAAAGGGCGCGUAGGCGGUUUGUUAAGUCGGUCGUGAAAGCCCGGGGCUCAACCCCGGAGGGUCGACCGAUACUGGCAGACUAGAGUACAGAAGAGGUAGCUGGAAUUCCCGGUGUAGCGGUGAAAUGCGUAGAUAUCUGGAGGAACACCGGUGGCGAAGGCGGCAUUCUGGACCGAAACUGACGCUGAGGCGCGAAAGCCAGGGGAGCAAACGGG